AUAUAAAUGAGCUAAGAUAUUAUAUUAUCUCUAUCUUGUAGUUUGUGGCUCUAAUGCGUUUGCUAGCUCUAAUGACAGUAAGAGUGUGUUAAAAUAAUUG